UUUUUUUUUUUUUUCUGAACACCAGGUUCUUGCUUGGAUCCAGAAUAGCCCAUCCACUUAGAUAGUGUAUAUGGGAUCUGGGCAUUAGCCUCCCUUGUCUGUGGCCCAAGUCAGCAGUAGCUCUUCCCCUUAUAGAAUCUUCAGAGUCCAUAGAUUGGGAAGGGUCACUAGUGUGCCAAUAGGCUGCAGUCCAGGUAGGAGAGAUAUGCGGUGCAUACAAAGAGCCUUAUAAAUAUCCCAAGCCACCCACUCUCCUCCCUCCAUGUGGCGGCACCCCAUGUUGUAAGAAUUUAGUCUAGAAAGCAGCAUGUGAGCCUGUGGGCGCCUGGCCUUGUCUUUUGAAGAUAUCCAGAUCUAGGGGCAGAGGGAAGUGCAGUUGCUUAGUUGAAGGAAUUAUCUUCUCUCACCUUCCCCCUUCCAUUCUGUGUUUUCCAAAGCAAGCCAGAUCAAGCAGGCAGCCAAGCUGCUCCAUAUUCUAUUUUUGGCCCUUACCACAGCUGUUGUUGGUAGGGCACCCAGCCCUUGCUGGAUUCCUAAGCCAUGUGCUUGCCUGGUGGGUGGGGCCCAGGAUAUAAGAGAUGUAAGGGAGGGUCUACAUGCUUGGUAGUCCAGGAACCAAUCAGUGUUCUACCUCCCUAAUGCUGGUCCUUAAGAGUCCCUGGGUGGAUCCCAGCCCUAGUGACCUUGUCUUCCCAUGGGCUUUUUUCCCUUCCUAGUGUCUGCAGGCUAGGUGCCUCCUCCAUAGGUGGUCCUGCUUUCUGUUCCUGGGGUUAGGGUGGCCCUCUCCUGCUACUGACUUUCAAUGGCACACAAUCUCUGGUCUACCAUUGCUCAUAGUCACAUGCUCAUUUAAACCUGGAAUCUGCAGGCCAAAGAUGACUCCCCCAACAUGCAGGGCCAUACCCUUCACUGGGCACAGGUCACAGCCCAGUUUAAAAGCCCAGGCCUCAGUUCUUUGUUGUGUACCAGUCUGUGCCUUGUUUGAGUCCUUCCUAUUGAGACUGUCCAACAGAAGGAAAGAAAGGUGGGGGUUAGCUGCUUCUCCCUAGAUUGAAGGACUCCUUCCCCUGAAAGAACAGCCAGAAGUCCACUUCUGUGCCAUGGAGUCCUUGCCCAGGAAGAAGCAGGCCUGUGCUCUGUAUCUGCACAGGGUGCCUUCUACUCACCGGGGGUUCUGCUCACAUCACUGCCCAGUAGCCCUGCCCUGAUCAUCUUUGAGACCUCUGCCUGGGAAUUGUUUAACCUUUAAGACGGCAGAUACCUUCCCAAGUCUGCUAUCAGUCUGAGAUCCCAAGGUAGCUCCAGGAUGCAACUGUGCUAUAACCUAACAUCCUUGCCUGCCUUCCUGUGUGCUUUCUUUCCUUUUCUGUCCUAAAGCAUCCUCACAGUUUGUGGUCCAUGCCCAUGAUGGAUGGCUAGAUGGAACAGUGACUCAGGUGUGCGGGUUCAGGGCAGACGAGUAGCCUGUCUUGCUUUGUCUCUCGGACCCAUACUGCAUCCCAGAGGUGUCUGGUUCCAGAGUGUUGCUGCUCUCUGAAGGAAGAAAGGGCCUUGUAGUGUCCAGACUCCCACAGGGCACCUCCCUGCUUGAUUUUGUCCUCUCUAGGUACACUUGAGCUUUAGCAUGAUGACAUUUCAGGGGUCUUGGCAUCACUUCUCUGAGUGACACUUGCUGAUCUGCUCGUCCCUGGCUCCAGCUUGGGCUGUGUCUCAGGUAAGAGAGAUGUCCACGGGAAAGCCAGGCUGGACCAGAGAUUUCCCUAGGACCUGAGAUCUCCUCAGAUGCCACCUAAGGCCACAGUGCCCCUCAGUGGAGACUGCUUUCUUUCCCUUUUGAGCACUGGAGCCCUCAGCAGGCUGCUUCGGAUGGACUGGCGUUUGGAAGACUACGUACACAGUUCUUUUUCUCUUCCUUGUUUCUGGUUUGCUUUGCUCUUGAUGGCUUCAUUUUGUUUUAUUUUUGAAGUUCUUUGUCGGCUCUGUAAACUAUUUCUGCUAAUUUUAUGUUUUUAUUUAUGAAUAAAGAAUGCCAUUUCUC
rnacentral:lncRNA from 1 species